UAGUUGAUGUUAACAUCGAUUUUCUAAAAACCAAUGUUAACUAUAUUCAGUUAACAUCGGGUAUCCUUAAAAAACCGAUGUUGUUAUGUUUAUAAGUUAAAACGUUGAAGAAAUUUCACAACCCGCACACUUGAAAACCCUGCACUCGUUCUUCUCUUUCUCUUCCCGCUUGAAAUCUGUCGGAAACCACUCGCUCGAUACCCACAUUGUCCCACAUUGUUUUCAAUACUGCCGGAAACCGCUCUCUCGAACCCACAGAACCCCCUAUCGAAGAAAACUUAAAGAAAACCCUACACUGCUCUUGGAACUGUGGCUCAAAGAAAACCCUACAUACACUCCUCCGCUAGGUACUAGGGUGCUGAAACAGUUGGUGUUAGUCACUUUUCCGCGAGGUACUAGGGUGUUGAAACACUCGUGGGUGAUCAAAGCUCAAAGCUUUCUCUGCGAGGUACUAGGGUACUAGCUAGCUGCCUAUAAUUUGGCUUUUUGUUGCCAAUAGUUGUGUAUGUAUUGGCCAGGUUCAGUUCCCAUUUCAACUUACCUAACUUGAAACUUUUCGUUUAUAUUGGCCUUAUUUUGUGCUACAAUUAUAGGAUACAACUACUGAUAAAUUAAUUGGUACAAGGAAAACUUCAAGUGUGCGCGGAUUCUAAUAGUUCCCAUUGCCCCUCACUGUUUCGGUUCGAGGUACAAGUUUUUUAUGCACACUUACCAAGUUAAGUCAUGUUUCUCAAGCAUUGUACUUGAGUCAACAGUUAUGUAUAAUAUAGAACUGCCCUAAUCGCACUCGUUGUUGUCAUUAGUCACCAUCUUACGAGGUCAUGGGAUCACCGCCUAGCUCCCCUCCAUAUUCAGAUGGUCAUUCACAGGUUGCGUCUAAGAGAAGUAGACAAUCCACAUGACUCAGAAGAUUGACUAAGAACCUUAGAUUUUCCUAGACCAGUGGUUAUCAUCGAUCCUGCAACUGGGAGAGGAUCAGUCCCACAUAAAGAAAAGUUCCACAAAUAUCCAGGGGUAGUAGCUCGAGGAAAGAUUCCAAUUGUACAUAGCAAUUGGAUAGAUGUACCGGAAUCUCUAAAGGAGCUAGUAUGGGAUGAAAUCUUGUAGCAAAUGCCAAGAAGAAGGUCAUGUCAACAAUAGCCACUAGAUGGAGGCAAUUUAAGUCUUAGUUGACCACCUAAUUUGUGUAUGCUAACAAUAAGGGACAAGAUAAAGAGGAUCCUUCCGUAAAAUAUGGUAUAGAUCCACAAACUUGGGAGGAAUUUGCUGCAACUCGGAAGACACCUAAUUGGCAGGACUUGUUAGAAGAACAGAUGACACAAGGAUCCUUUGUUCCCCAAGGUCGUGACAACAUACUGAACACUGCCAUUGGGUGACCGGAGCAUGGAAGUCGUGUUCGUGCAGUGGGAUCUGGUGUGACAAUAUCUCAAUACUAUGGAAGGGAAUCACGUGGCUCAAGCACCUCCUCCACAUUCAUCAACCAACAAUAGUUGGCUGAGAUAAUUGGAAGUCUUAAGUAAGAGUGGACUAAUGAGAUUAUAGUAAACCUUAAGGAAGAAACGAGGAAUGAAAUUGAAGAAGAAAACAAGCGAACUAUAGAGAAAAUGAAACAAGAGUUGAAUGAGGCCAUCAAAAUAGAGUUGUCUGAGAGGGGAUCACCGUACACACCCUCGAUUGAUGUGGAUAUGUAGGUAUUAAGUGCACGUAUCAGCACAAAGGGUAGCAAUGCUAAAAAUGCUGACAAUGCAUUAGGGGAAGAACAUGAUGCUAAUGUGAUACUGACUAUGGGGUUGUAUAUGCAAGGUGAUAAUUAUACGUGCUUGGAGGCCUUAGGAAACAUAUAUGAUGGGGAGUCUACCAUACACAACAUGGCUUAUGCAGAUGAUGUGGUAAGGGUCAGUGUUCAGAAAAUUUAUGAUGAUGACGCUAAAGUCUCGUUUUUUAUGUAAAAAACUCAAUAUGUCAGGUAGGCCCUUGACACAUUCAUUGCAUGGCUGACAAAUCUUGUCAAAAUUGUAUCACAUGAGGAUUCACAUGUUACUCCUAAGAAAGUGGCUAAACAUGUUCAAAUGUCGAAUGAUGUUGGUGCAGAGGAUCUAUUGCGUCAGUUGAUUAGGACCCUGUAUGACAUUUAUGACAAGCAUGUUGAGUUUUGUUGUGGGAUGGGAGUAAAUUUGGGAUUCCAAAUUCAGAUGCAUCAUUCUUAACAUAUUCUAAUGUAAAUGAAAUAAUAUCAGGUGACAAAUGUCUGAACAUAGCUAUACUGUAGUUGUGGAGGAUGUUUAUGGAUGAGUGGAGUUUGACCUUGGGUCAUGGUUCAUAUGGAUUCCUUGAGCCUCAGUCCAUACACAAUGCAAAGGACAGACAUGCUGAAUGUCAACAUUACAUUGAAACAUGGGUUAAGGAAUCCCAACGAGAAGUCUACCUAGGAGCUUACUUGAAUCACAAUGCAAUGAAGACAUUAAAGAGUAGUUUGGAUGGUCAUAUUGAUAAAGUUGCAACACAGUGGAUUGAAAUAAAGUGGUUUUGGUGAUGGCACGCCAUUAUACAUCGAGACCAUCACAACAAUUCACAAGAAAUGAGCAACAUAUUUUUUAAAAGUUAAAAACAUUUGAUGUACAUACCUUUAGAUGAGAUAGGAAGAACCACUGUGGUGUAUUCGAUGUUUAACGUACUUGUUAUAAACAAGUUUAUACAAUUAUUGGCAAUCAUUUGAGA